AUGCAUGAUCUAGAGGGAUUUUUCUGCAAAACUGUGUUCUCCGGAAUAAUAGAUAAAUUCGUUCAGGGAAAAAUAUGUCCUGGGCCGAAACAGAGGUUGGCCCGACAGGGGGAAGGGAAAAAAAGAGGGGCGCUGGAUCUGGCCUCACCAUGGGCCUUGGGCCGUUCGGUGAAGAGGUGGGAGCUGCAAAAGCGAGGCGAGGCCGGUUGGGCUGCGAUCUGGCACGGGAGGAGGCACGCUGGGCCGGCCGGCCUUGUUUCAAUCGGGGAAGGGUCAACGCACAGCGACCCACGUACGGCAGUGGUCGUCUCGUCUCAUCCCGCACGAAGCAGAGGUACGGCGAGGCGGGUCUUGAGCGGCCGGAGGCCGGAAAUGGCAGCGCGGCGACGGGAUCCUGCUAUCCACGGGAGAGAGAGCCAUGAGAGGAGGAGGAAAAACAAAAUGGGGAGAAGGAAGGAGAGGGACGCCAGGCACUGGCCUGGAUCGGGGCAACGCUGCGAGGGCCAACGACGAAGACAGCGGGGCGGAGCAGUGGCUUGCGGGGGCUCCGGGCAGGCGAAGCAGAGGCUGGACAGGCACUACGUGAUGGGGCUUGGGCGCAACUCGGGCGGCGCAGUGCUCUCCGGCGAGGGUAGCAAGAUGGCGGCGUUGACGGCGAACUGCGGUCGUCGGGAUCCGAGGCGGCGGGGACUGGCGCAUGGCGCUCGAUCGGCAGCAGCGGAUGUACUCCUGUGGGCAUGUACAUGUAAUCGAGAGAGUUUCAGAGAGGAGAGAUACAGAGAAGAAAACGAGAAAAACGGAGGGAAGAGCAGGCGCAGUUGGCUGGCCGGAGCUUUGCCAGAGACGUCCGGGCACGGCUGCGCUGGAUCUGCUGCUGCUUGCGGCACGGGGACGAGGAGGAGGGAGCUCGGUCUCGCUCGAGAGCUCGGGGCUAGUGGUGGCCUCGAUCCCCUCCAGGAUCGAGCAGAGAAGUGGCUGGAAUCGAGGAGAGGUGGGGAUGCACUGGUUGGCGAGCGAUGCUUGGGGAGGGAUGGAUCCCGAUGGGGAUUUGGUGGAGUGGCGGCGCGGCUGGGAGGAUGGGACAGGUCCCUAGAUUUUAGGGUUGUCCAAACUUAUAUUGCAAUAAGAUUAGGGUAG
rnacentral:rRNA from 1 species